CCUACGGGGGGCUGCAGUGAGGAAUAUUGGUCAAUGGACGAGAGUCUGAACCAGCCAAGUAGCGUGAAGGAUGACUGCCCUAUGGGUUGUAAACUUCUUUUAUAUGGGAAUAAAAUGUUCCACGUGUGGGAUUUUGUAUGUACCAUAUGAAUAAGGAUCGGCUAACUCCGUGCCAGCAGCCGCGGUGAUACGGAGGAUCCGAGCGUUAUCCGGAUUUAUUGGGUUUAAAGGGAGCGUAGGUGGAUUGUUAAGUCAGUUGUGAAAGUUUGUGGCUCAACCGUAAAAUUGCAGUUGAAACUGGCAGUCUUGAGUACAGUAGAGGUGGGCGGAAUUCGUGGUGUAGCGGUGAAAUGCUUAGAUAUCACGAAGAACUCCGAUUGCGAAGGCAGUUCACUGGACUGCAACUGACACUGAGGCUCGAAAGUGUGGGUAUCAAACAGGAUUAGAUACCCUUGUAGUC
rnacentral:rRNA from 1 species